GCCCCGGCCGCCGCGCCCCGCCCCGCUGCCGCCCGCCGCGCUCGGGGUAAACAAGGCUGUGACACUGGCAGAUUUCCAGAAUAAGCCAGUUUCAGAACUGUGGAGCCUCCAAAUAUGAUCUUCUGUCAGUCACAGAGAUUUCUGCUCCAGGAAAGGAAAGAUUCAUCUGGCAGAUUAUAAUCACUACUGUACAAGAUGGUGAAAGAAGUGAUCUCUCCUAAACUGGGAUACCAGCUACUCCAGGACUAGUCAACACCUUGAACUGUGCUGAGAAGCGGUGGUGACUUGGCUCAAAUAUCACUAUAUCUCAUCUUACUCUUGUGAUGCAAACCACUGUUUUUUCAAUAGAUGCUACAGUGGCAACUCCCAGCCUUUGCUGAAACCAUCCAAAUGCUUCAGAGUUUCCAGAGCCAUCCCCAUUCUGGGCUUCCACUUCCCUAAAAAAAAAAAAAAAAAAAAAAAAAAAAGAGAAACAGUGAAGGUGACACACCUGAUUUUUGGGCUCUUACUGCAGGACAGACCAGCCAUACCCAGACCAGGUCCUGGGGGUUGCUCUGCUUUCCCCAUCCCAUUGUAGGGUAGCAGCUCCAGGUUUCUAUAGCUCAGCCUGGGCAGUGUUUCACAGGACAUCGAGGCUGCAAAGUCAUGGGCAGGGGGAAUGUUUAUAACUGAGAGGUAUAGUAGUAUCUCCCAUCUCCCAUGGGGUUUCUAUCUCCAUAGGACCCAGUGCCAGCAUGCAGAAAGAGGGGAGUUCAGGCAAAGGUUGGUCAUAAAUUACCAAGGGAAGUUCCUCAACAUAACACAUGGGACCCAGCACCAGAAUGGCUACAUGAAAUCAAAUAACCCUGAUAUACUGACUAGCUGUAAUAAACAGAGACUUUAAUAUACUUCAAAACAACUACAAUAUUGUGUUAAGUACAAUGAUCUUCAAUACCUUUUCCUAACCUGACUAAUCAAUACCCCAAAUUCUCUUUCCUUUCUAAUCCUAGAAAAUCAUGUAAAGGAGUAUACUGUGUCUGUGACAAACCUGAAUCACUUGGGUGGUCCUGAUAAUGGGAUACUUGGUUAGACAUGAGCUUUAGUUUUGGUGAAUUUUGUUGCUCCUGCCAACACCUUAAGAAGAUUACCAUUUCUGAUAAGAGCUCAAAACAUUAAAGGAAAACUAAAAAGAGAGCAAGUUCUUUCAAGAGAAUAAAGCUGAUGCUGUGGGCAAUUGGAAUGAACUACAUCAGCUUUCAGAGAUUAAAGAGGAAAAACUGCAAAGAAGAUUUACCAGUUGAAACUCUGUGUCAUUAGAAAUCACUUUUUUUGCCAUCAAAAUAAAAUUAAUUUUAAAAAUGAAA